rnacentral:rRNA from 1 species
GACGAACGCUGGCGGCGUGCCUAAUACAUGCAAGUAGAACGCUGAAGGAGGAGCUUGCUUCUCUGGAUGAGUUGCGAACGAGUGAGUAACGCGUAGGUAACCUGCCUGGUAGCGGGGGAUAACUAUUGGAAACGAUAGCUAAUACCGCAUAAUAGUAGAUGUUGCAUGACAUUUGCUUAAAAGGUGCAAUUGCAUCACUACCAGAUGGACCUGCGUUGUAUUAGCUAGUUGGUGAGGUAACGGCUCACCAAGGCGACGAUACAUAGCCGACCUGAGAGGGUGAUCGGCCACACUGGGACUGAGACACGGCCCAGACUCCUACGGGAGGCAGCAGUAGGGAAUCUUCGGCAAUGGACGGAAGUCUGACCGAGCAACGCCGCGUGAGUGAAGAAGGUUUUCGGAUCGUAAAGCUCUGUUGUAAGAGAAGAACGAGUGUGAGAGUGGAAAGUUCACACUGUGACGGUAUCUUACCAGAAAGGGACGGCUAACUACGUG